rnacentral:rRNA from 1 species
AUUGAACGCUGGCGGCAGGCUUAACACAUGCAAGUCGAACGGCAACAGGAAGUAGCUUGUUGCGUUGCUGACGAGAGGCGGGAGGGAGGGUACUGUAUGGGCAACUGCCCGAUGGAGGGGGCUAACUAAUGGAAACGGAUGCUACAAACGCAUAACGGCGCAAAGCCAAAGAGGGGGACCUCAGGGCCUAUUGGCACCGGAUGUGCCGAGGUGGGAUUAGCUUGUAGGAGGGGUUACGGCUUACCUAGGCGACGAGCCGUAGCUGGUCUGAGAGGACGACCAGCCACACUGGGACUGAGACACGGCCCAGACUCCUACGGGAGGCAGCAGUGGGGAAUUUUGGACAAUGGGGGCAACCCUGAUCCAGCCAUGCCGCGUGCGGGAAGAAGGCCUUCGGGUUGUAAACCGCUUUUGUUGGGGAAGAAAUCAUCUGGGCUAAUACCUCGGGGGGAUGACGGUACCGGAAGAAUAAGCACCGGCUAACUCCGUG